rnacentral:rRNA from 1 species
AGGUUUGAUCCUGGCUCAGAUUGAACGCUGGCGGCAGGCCUAACACAUGCAAGUCGAGCGGUAGAGAGAAGCUUGCUUCUCUUGAGAGCGGCGGACGGGUGAGUAAUACCUAGGAAUCUGCCUGAUAGUGGGGGAUAACGUUCGGAAACGGACGCUAAUACCGCGUACGUCCUACGGGAGAAAGCAGGGGACCUUCGGGCCUUGCGCUAUCAGAUGAGCCUAGGUCGGAUUAGCUAGUUGGUGAGGUAAUGGCUCACCAAGGCUACGAUCCGUAACUGGUCUGAGAGGAUGAUCAGUCACACUGGAACUGAGACACGGUCCAGACUCCUACGGGAGGCAGCAGUGGGGAAUAUUGGACAAUGGGCGAAAGCCUGAUCCAGCCAUGCCGCGUGUGUGAAGAAGGUCUUCGGAUUGUAAAGCACUUUAAGUUGGGAGGAAGGGCAUUAACCUAAUACGUUGGUGUCUUGACGUUACCGACAGAAUAAGCACCGGCUAACUCUGUG